ACGCCGAAUUUGAACCGUUUCUUUGAACUUUGUUGACAUCUGGUCAGUAUACUUACCACUGUUCAUGUGGUCGUCCUGCUUAACGAAUGUAAAAUUCCAACAUACCCGUGCAGGUCCACUGGCUCCUUGUUAGUUGCGUGCUCCAGCAAUGCAUCCGCUGUCCGGUUGGCGACACCCACAACCUUGGGUACGAUCUGAAUAUUUCAAGAAGUGGGCGCCGUGAGUUCCAAUGUAACCCACGGGCGUACGGAUUCAACAUGCGACUGCGACACCUGUGCAAGCGAUCGCCGGACCUCUACUUUCUGGACCACGGCUUUCACCGACAACCCCCGAUGAGAGUCCUAGCAGCCGACGGCCUGCACCCUAACUUCGAGGGAGUCCGGCAGAUAGCACACCGAGUGCGAACCCUACUGCCCCGGCUUCUACGUCGGCUGCCUGUCCACAAGGAAGGAGUCACCGGGACGCCUGAUCCAGUAUGGCCCACAAUCCAGGAAGCAGCAGCGAGCAGUCGGAGCCAUGUCCACGUCCAGAAAACGUCCAAGAAGCAGGAUUGACUAACUGGUGACCCAUAGCGCAGCUCCACUGGUUCCAACUUUGAUGGACACAGCCAUGAGUUUCCUGACAGUAUCGUGGCAGAUGGUAUCUCGUGCCACAGAAGUACAUACGAACAGUCCAGCAGAAAUACAGCAGCAGCCCAAUCCCAGUCUAUAACUCUGCAGAGGGUCAGAGAGAUAGCAGCAAACCAGGUCGUUCCCACAACUCUCCGCAAGCUCGGGAUUCAUCGCAAACCAAGGCAGCCAGCCAGCCAUGUACGAACCCAUAUUUGCCAACAUUGUAGAUUGUCAACUAGGUAUUUCCAGUGCUUUCGUGACCACGUUGUUCAGUGUGUUGGGUCUGGCUUUCUCCCUUCUUGUGAUACUUGUGGGACAACAUUUGAAACCAUCUAAACAUACAGACAUCAUUUGAAUUUUUGUAUUUAGUUAAGCACACGAGUACAGGAUGGCAGCCAGCCAACAGAAUGUAUAGGUGAGCUACUUGAGGACAUGGAAAGAACAGAUCAACGUUCGCAGAGUAAUCUGAAAAAAAUUGGGCUAUUUAUGCCGUAACCCAGAGGGCCACCACAUGUGCCCCAAGGUGGUUGUCGAUUGCGUUGUAAGCAGCAUAGAGGAAUUGUUUCAGGAAAUGGGUGUGCAGAUUGACACCACUUUGGUAAAAUCAGAUCAGGUUCGGAAAUUGCGUUUAUGUGGAACCCGAUUUUUUGUAACGUGCCUUAAGUGUAAAAUGCGUUGGAGUUCUUUAUCUCAUUAGACUUUCAUUUAGAUGAUUUUUCUACACGUCAUGUGAGGAUGACUACGAAUUACCUAUUUUGCUAUAGUCAAAAAGUGACUUGUCAGCUCAGUUCCUUUAUAUGUACGUUCAGUGCAACGUGUUCUGCACUUUAGUAAUACUCAUAUUUCACAUAUGCUUUUUUCUACAUGAUCCUUCGAGUAUAUUUUGCUCCAUUGAAGAGGAGAC